rnacentral:rRNA from 1 species
AGAGUUUGAUCCUGGCUCAGAACGAACGCUGGCGGCGUGCCUAACACAUGCAAGUCGAGCGCGAAUGGGAGCAAUCCCUAGUAGAGCGGCGCACGGGUGCGUAACACGUGGGUAAUCUGCCUGGAAGACCGGGAUAACCUUCCGAAAGGAGGACUAAUACCGGAUAAGACCGCGGGAGCUUCGGCUCCUGUGGGAAAAGG